AUGCCCGGCCUCUCGCUGAAAAAAAAAGGCCACCUGGUGAAUAACUGCCCCGCGCGCUACCGCGGGAAGCCUCUAGAGGGCGCGGCAGUCUCGCUCAAGCGUCGAGGGGCGGGGCUUGUUGCCGUGGCGACCACUCCGUCAACAGCCUCCGCGGCUGUUCCUGUCUCCGUGGCCAUGGAGGACCGCCCCUCGGUUUUUAUCGGGUGUGGCAAUCUAGAAGCUGAUAAAAGGUGCAUUCAAGUAGCAGCCAUUUGUCCACUUGGCCAGCCUAUGAACCAGGGCAAGGAAUCCUUCAGAACCGAAAACCGUGCUCUCUCCCUGGUUGGCAAAGGUAGGUCUGGAUACGGCAUUGAGAUGUCAAGCUUUAAAAAAAACAGCAGGAAAUUUGAGGUUCAAAUAAACACAGCGAUACAAAGAUUU
rnacentral:lncRNA from 1 species